AUUUGUCAUAUAUAAAGACUUCAGCAAGGCUUGAUGCCUCGGGUGUGUCUUUUAUCAUGCCUAUAAGUACUUUUGAACAUCUAUUGUAUAUGCAUUACUCAUUUCACUAACUUCCGAUUCUUUUAUGACUUUGAGCUUCUAUUUAUAUGCUCUCAUACUAAAUUGAGCGUUGGUGCCUUUACAAGUACCUCCUCUUGUUAAGCCAACAUCACGCCACCAUGUCGGAAGGCCCAUCCAGAACCUGCAACACGACAGAAGAUCAUGAGCAAAAAUUAGCUCACAUUUUGGAAGAACAACUUUCAUUUACUUAUUUAGUUAUUAAAAUUCUUCCAUCAAUAAUUAAGAUGAGAUACUCACUAGGAUAACUCAAGUGGUAAAAGCUCGAUGAUAUAAUGCACAAAAUUCUUAGUAGUUCAUUCAUGAUAUGAGGGACGAGCACUGAGUGAUGUUGAUUUAUGGUCAAGAACCUUGGCACAUAUGCGACUAUUUAAGUAAUUGGUUGUAGGUGCAUAAGUACAUGGUCUAAUACCUCUGGUCCUUUCAG
rnacentral:lncRNA from 1 species